rnacentral:rRNA from 1 species
UACAGAGGUCUCAAGCGUUGUUCGGAUUCAUUGGGCGUAAAGGGAGCGUAGGUGGCGGGGCAAGUCAGGGGUGAAAUCCCGGGGCUCAACCCCGGAACUGCCUUUGAUACUGGUAGUCUCGAGUCCGGAAGAGGUGAGUGGAAUUCCGAGUGUAGAGGUGAAAUUCGUAGAUAUUCGGAGGAACACCAGUGGCGAAGGCGGCUAACUGGUCCGGUUCUGACGCUGAGGCGCGAAAGCGUGGGGAGCAAACAGG